CGCAAAGUGGCGAGCGAAGGAUUGCUGAGCACCAGCGUCUGUGCUGGAAAGAGCUGGGCAGAGCUGGGCAGAGCCGGGCUGGAGAGGGGAAAGAGACGGAAGGGAAGGGCGAUAUUUUCCUCAGGGAUUUGAACUGGGGUCUGCAUCCUGGUCGUUGCGGUCCUUUUAGCAUCCUCGCCACUCCCUGAGCGCGCUCGCGGUUCACAGGCUGCGCCCUCCCAGGGCCGAUGCUGCGUCCUGCUCCGCUGUUCUGGGACGUCGGGGGCAAAAGUGGAGGAGACGGGAGAGCCCAGGCAGAAAAAGCAGGAAGCGCGUCCCAGUCCUAGACCCGGCACGCCAGGGUAGUGCUAACCCCAGCCCUGGAUCUGCCACAUGUGCUGUGUGACCUUCAGUCAGCCGCAUCUUCUGGUCCUAGCCGAGGUCUUCGAGCUCCGGGCGCGUGCAGCGUCAUGUAAUUGAUAUAGACAAGACUUUGGGGGGGAUACUGCGACGCCCAACAGAAGGCAGAAAUCUGGACACCUGCGGAUGCACUUUUAUGGAGGAAGACCAUAUAGCCUUGGCAUGACCAUAGACAGCUAAAAACAAAUUAUUCUGAACCAGGAGAGGACAGUUGGGGACCCAACGGAAAGAAUCUCUCAAUCCGAGACUGUCCUGAAGCGCGACCCUACCCUUAACCCUUCCCCCACAGUCCUCCAACCCGCUAGAUUGGAGUCCGAUUAUCGAAAACAGGCUGCAGGAUGCGAGAUGGUAUCUUCUUGGCUGUUUAGAAAUUAGCAUCUCUUCAGUAGUGCCAACAAGAAAGAGAGAGAGAGAAGAAAAGAAAAAGGAAGGAAGAAGGAAGAAAAGAAAGAAAGAAAGGAAAAGAAAAAGGCCUGCGAGAAUUUGGAGGCGAAAGGAGGAAAGCCUGUUUGCUUAGGAAAAAGUAGAGGGAAAGAGGAGUUUAGCAGAGCAGCUCCAGAUGCCUGGGUCACAAAAAGUUUCCGCUUGUAUUUUCUUAGAAGCACAAUUCAUUAAAUAUUUUCGCACCGCUUG